rnacentral:rRNA from 1 species
AAGAGUCCACGGCGGAUGCCUUGGCGCUAGUAGGCGAUGAAGGACGUGGUAAGCUGCGAUAAGCCUCGGUGAGCUGCAAACAAGCGUUGAUCCGAGGAUUUCCGAAUGGGGCAACCCGGCGGGCUGAAAGCCCGUCAACCCUUUACUGAACACAUAGGUUUAGGGUGGCGAACGCGGGGAACUGAAACAUCUAAGUACCCGCAGGAAGAGAAAGUAAGAACGAUUCCCUGAGUAGCGGCGAGCGAACGGGGAAUAGCCUAAACUGGCCGACGUGUAAACCAGCACGUGUUGCGUCGGCGGGGUUGUGGGACCUGGUUGAUUCCAGUGCUGACGGAAUCAAGGAGUUACAAAAUUACAUGCUAGUCGAAUCCUCUGGAAAGUGGAACCGCAGACGGUGACAGUCCCGUAGACGAAAGUAUGUAAUCUCCUACCAGGCACCCGAGUACCACGGGACACGAGAAAUCCCGUGGGAAUCUGUGAGGACCAUCUCAUAAGGCUAAAUACUAACUAGCGACCGAUAGCGAACCAGUACCGUGAGGGAAAGGUGAAAAGUACCCCUGGCGGGGAGUGAAAUAGUACCUGAAACCAUGGACUUACAAGCAGUCGGAGCGGUCUUCGGACCGUGACGGCGUGCCUUUUGCAUAAUGAACCGGUGACUUACUGGUAUGUGGCAAGGUUAAGCGCUUUUACGCGAAGCCGCAGCGAAAGCGAGUCUGAAUAGGGCGAUUCAGUCGCAUGCCGUAGACCCGAAGCUAGGUGAUCUACCCAUGGUCAGGAGGAAGCGGCCGUAACAGGUCGUGGAAGUCCGAACCAGAGGAGGUUGAAAACUCCCUGGAUGAACUGUGGGUAGGGGUGAAAGGCCAAUCAAACCCAGAAAUAGCUGGUUCUCCCCGAAAUAGCUUUAGGGCUAGCCUCAAGUUUGUGUGACGGAGGUAGAGCACUGACAGAGCUAGGGGCCUCACAAGGUUACCGAACUCUUUCAAACUCCGAAUGCCGUUUACAUGUAGCUUGGGAGUCAGCGAGCGUGGGAUAAGCUUCGUUCGCGAGAGGGAAACAACCCAGACCAACAGCUAAGGUCCCCAAGUCUGUACUAAGUGACUAAGGUUGUGGAUUUACCCAGACAACUAGGAUGUUGGCUUAGAAGCAGCCAUCAUUUAAAGAAAGCGUAAUAGCUCACUAGUCAAGUAGAUCUGCGCCGACGAUGAUCGGGACUCAAGCACAGCACCGAAGCUUUGGGAUUGUUCAUGGAUUCGUCCAUGGAUGAUCGGUAGGGGAGCAUUCCGUAAGGGGCUGAAGGUGAACCCGUAAGGGACACUGGACCUAUCGGAAGAGAUUAUGCCGGUAUGAGUACGCGAUAAAGAGGGUGAGAAACCCUCUCCCCGAAAACCUAAGGUUUCCUGAGGAAGGCUAAUCCGCUCAGGGUAAGUCGGAUCCUAAGCCGAGGCCGAAAGGCGUAGGCGAUGGGAAUCAGGUCAAAAUUCCUGAACCACCUAGGUAGAGUUUGAGCGAUGGGGUGACGCAGUGGUGAAAGGUCAGCCAGCUGAUGGAUAUGCUGGUCCAAGUCAGUAGGUGGAAGUCUCAGGCAAAUCCGGGACUUCUUAACACCGAGAGACGAUGGGGGAACGAGCCUUCGGGCGAGCCAACUGAUCCUAAUCGUACUGCCAAGAAAAACCUCUAAGCGAUUUACCUGGGUGUCCGUACCGUAAACCGACACAGGUAGGUGAGGAGAGAAUCCUAAGGGGCUCGAGAGAACUCUUGUUAAGGAACUCUGCAAAUUGACCCCGUAACUUCGGAAGAAGGGGUGCCUCCAGGUAUGUGAUCCACUUCGCGUGGUGAGCAGACGGAGGCCGCAGCGACCAGGCUCGAGCGACUGUUUACUAAAAACACAGGUCUCUGCUAAGUCGUAAAGACGACGUAUAGGGACUGACACCUGCCCGGUGCUGGAAGGUUAAGAGGAGUCGUUAGCGAUUUCGAUUGCGAAGCGGCGAAUUGAAGCCCCAGUAAACGGCGGCCGUAACUAUAACGGUCCUAAGGUAGCGAAAUUCCUUGUCGGGU